UCCCUGGACACGGGGUGCCCCCUGGGGGCUGAGAUCACACCCGAGAACCUGCACGAGUUAGGACUCGCGAAGGGAUGUCGCCAUGGCGAAGC
rnacentral:ncRNA from 1 species